UAGAUAUGUUGCCACUUAUUAAAGUUCCC
rnacentral:piRNA from 1 species